rnacentral:rRNA from 1 species
AUGCCCGACCAUCCUUCUCCGUGUGGCCGCCACCCCCAAAUCCUGCUGGAUCGAAGAUGUUUAGUGGGCCAGUUGAAAAAUUCCACCACCGCAAAAUCCAAGAACAGCAAAGGGGUUCAUUUGGAGGUUUCUUUUGAAGCAGCUGACCCUCCAGCCAUCUCACUGUGCCUGGUCAGUUGCGUUGAUCAGACCGGGGAUCGCUUGGCAGCACAGCCUCGUAUACUUGGCGUAACUGGAGGCUUUGUACUGCUGGCUAUCACCUUCUCGGACAGUGUCAACCCUUACUUGCGGUUCAUCGACUAUUUUGUUUACAAAGCAGGGCCGGAUUUCGCCUCUCUUCAUCUUCUUGCAAGGCCAUAUCCAUCUUCUUUUUCGCCAAAUUUGGCUGCCAUCUUGCCGGUUUGUGAUAACAGUGAAGACUUUGCUGUCAUUUUUCCUCAUGUUGAAUAUUUCAGACUUGAGUCUCGCAAACAUUACACACUCCACAUAUAUCGAUCCGACACGAAUGAUUGGCACUCUCAGGUCGCUUGUAUCGCUGAGGAUGAUGAGACAAGGAAUGCCAGGGAUAAGCUAUUGCUUCAUAAUACCAUGAGCGUAGCAUAUGCAGAAAAGGGUAUCAUAGGUUGGAUUGAUCUCUGGUGGGGAAUUCUCUUAUGCAAUGUUUUGGAUAAAAAGCCUACCAUCCGUUUUGUUCCGUUGCCAGUUCCGGAACCGUGUGAUACGUCUGAGUUCCAUUUGAUGUUCGAGAAUCUCACUCCAAGACCACACCGUCAUGUGACGAUAUUCAAUGAUUUGAUCAAGUGUGUUGAGUUAGAUUUUCAUGUGCAAGAUGCUUUCUGCAACAUGAAGCGAGCAAAGGAUUAUGGCUGGAUAGCUAAAACAUGGACUAGAUCAAUUUAUUCAGAUGUUUGGUGUGAUGGCUUGACGAUUGAUACGUCUGAGAUAUCUUUCACCGACUCAAGUUUGCCGAAUUUGUUGCCUGGGAUGUUUGAUGAGGAAAACAAUUUGACUUGGAAGAAAUUGACUAGUGCUGGUCCUACAUUAAGCUUGCUUGAUGACAAUGUUAUUUACAUUAUGGCGAAGGAGAGCAUGUGCCAUCCGACAGCAUAUGUACUUACUGUGGACACCAAAAGUUUGAAGCUCGAGUCUGGUGCGCAGUGUGCUCCUCAAAAGACGGCGUGGUUCGAACCAACAUAUGAACCAUGUGUUCUUUUUAGCUCUUUUGGCACGACUUCAGAGUUGGUUAAAGAAUUUGAAACCAAAGGGACAAUAUUUGAAAUCAAGGAAGGGCCGGUGCUCUCGGUGGUGUCGAAGCGUCUCCGUGUGCUGCGGAAGAAGCAGAAUCGCAUCGCGCAGAUGGAGGAGUCCGUCGCUGCCGGCAAGAUGCUUAACCAGGAGCAGAAGGAGCUCAUGCACUCCAAGCCCGUCAUCGCCGCGCUCAUUGACGAGCUUGAGCGCCUCCGCGUACCACUCUCCACCGCUCUCACCCAGGAGCUCUCCACCGUCCCUGCACCUGCUGCCGGUUCCUCAUCCUUUGGCUCCGAUUUGUCCAUCCAGGACCUCCUCGCACUCAUCUACUUCGGCUCCCUUUUUUAUGUCAAGUCACCGAACGAGUUCAUCGCCACCAUGGUUGCGCGCAAGCACGAACGGAGCAGCUGCAUCACCCACGGCUACGUAUGGGAUGAUACCGUGGACCUGCUCGUGGAGAACGACCUUGACGCAGUGUCUGCUGUGGCGGCCCUUGCCGCGGCUCGCCCUUCUUCCGCAGAUGGUGUCUCCCACCACGACGCACUCCAGGCCUGUGUCCAUCAUGCCCGCCUAUGGCUAACCCGUGCUGAUGCGCCGAUCCACCCUGGCUCCUCUGUUACAUAUGCUGCGGUGAGGUCCAAGUUAGACAGGAUCAUGGCAUCAGACUACUACACAGCACCUGCAGUUGCUGGGAACCAUGGAGCUGAAGGUCUGCAGGCACAGAUGAGCAUGACCGACUCACCAGAGGGACCAUCACUCAAGGAGAUCCUAGCUGCUGAAAAUCACAAGUUUGUGGAGCAAGCAAUGCUUGCAGAAGAAGAUGAGUGGACCACCUGA